CCCCUAGCUCCCAAAGCUAGGAUCCUAAUUUAGACUAUUCUUUGCCGAGC
rnacentral:tRNA from 1 species